CGAACGCUGGCGGCAAGCUUAACACAUGCAAGUCGAACGGACCGUAUACGCAGCUUGCUGCGUGUAUGGUUAGUGGCAGACGGGUGAGUAAUGCAUAGGAAUCUACCUAGUAGUAUGGGAUAGCCACUAGAAAUGGUGGGUAAUACUGUAUAAUCCCUGCGGGGGAAAGAUUUAUCGCUAUUAGAUGAGCCUAUGUCAGAUUAGCUAGUUGGUGGGGUAAUGGCCUACCAAGGCGGUGAUCUGUAGCUGGUCUGAGAGGAUGAUCAGCCACACUGGAACUGAGACACGGUCCAGACUCCUACGGGAGGCAGCAGUGGGGAAUAUUGGACAAUGGGCGCAAGCCUGAUCCAGCUAUGCCGCGUGAGUGAGGAAGGCCUUAGGGUUGUAAAACUCUUUCAGUAGGGAAGAUAAUGACGGUACCUACA
rnacentral:rRNA from 1 species